AAUGAACGCUGGCGGCAUGCCUAACACUUGCAAGUCGAACGAAGCCUUCGGGCUUAGUGGCGCACGGGUGCGUAACGCGUGGGAAUCUGCCCUUGGGUUCGGAAUAACUCUCCGAAAGGAGUGCUAAUACCGGAUGAUGUCGAAAGACCAAAGAUUUAUCGCCCAGGGGUGAGCCCGCGUAGGAUUAGCUAGUUGGUGAGGUAAAAGCUCACCAAGGCGACGAUCCUUAGCUGGUCUGAGAGGAUGAUCAGCCACACUGGGACUGAGACACGGCCCAGACUCCUACGGGAGGCAGCAGUGGGGAAUAUUGGACAAUGGGCGAAAGCCUGAUCCAGCAAUGCCGCGUGAGUGAUGAAGGCCUUAGGGUUGUAAAGCUCUUUUACCCGGGAUGAUAAUGACAGUACCGGGAGAAUAAGCCCCGGCCAACUCCGUGCCAGCCGCCGCCGUAA
rnacentral:rRNA from 1 species